rnacentral:misc_RNA from 1 species
GAAAUGCGAUAAGUAAUGUGAAUUGCAGAAUUCCGUGAAUCAUCGAAUCUUUGAACGCACAUUGCGCCCCCUGGUAUUCCGGGGGGCAUGCCUGUCCGAGCGUCAUUUCAACCCUCAAGCACGGCUUGUGUGAUGGGCCACGCGUCCGCUCUGAUAGCGGACGGGCCCGAAAGGCAGCGGCGGCGUCGACCCGAUGAGCCCGAGCGUAUGGGGACUUCUGUCACACGUUCGCGGUGCGGACCGGCGCCUGCUUGACUUUUCUGAUUAUCCAGGUUGACCUCGGAUCAGGUAGGGAUACCCGCUGAACUUAAGC